GUAUAGAGUGUGUCUCACAACGGACACUUGGACUAGUGUCCAAAACAUCAAUUAUAUGGUGCUUACUGCCCAUUUUAUUGAUGUUGAUUGGAAGAUGCACAAGAGGGUUAUAAAUUUUUGUGUUAUCCAAAACCAUCAAGGGGCAACCAUAGGUAGACUUAUAGAGUCUUGUUUGCUGCAGUGGGAGAUUGAGAAGGUCUUGACCAUAACUGUUGAUAAUGCAUCUGCAAAUAAGUCGGCUUUAGAGUGGCUUAGAUCAAAGAUGAAUAAGUGUUCAUCUUACAAAACAGUUUUAGGUGGUAAAUACAUGCAUGUGAGGUGCACAGCUCACAUAACCAAUUUGAUAGGGGGACAUGGCUUGAAGAGGCUGCAAAAGAGUGUUUUAGCCAUUAGGAAUGCUGUCAAGUAUGUUAGGUCUUCACCUAAUAGACUAGAUAGCUUUAGGAAAGCUGUCGAGAAAGAAAAGCUUCCUCUUACAGGGCUGGUUUGUUUAGAUGUCCCAACUAGGUGGAAUUCAACUUAUCUAAUGUUAGAGGCAGCCUUGAAGUUUAAGAAGGCUUUUGCAAGGAUGGAGGAAGAUGAUGAUGAGCUUUAUCUAGGUUAUUUCAAGGAACCAGAGGAGGAAUAUGAUGAGGAAGGCAAUGUCGUUCCUAGUAGGAACAAAAGAAACAGAGUUGGGCCUCCGGAGGAACCAAAUUGGGACAAGGCUGAGGUUUUUGUUGAUUUGCUUAGAGUAUUUUAUGAUGUGACCCUUAGAGUUAGUGCAAGCUUGCAUCCAACUGUGCAUACAACAUUCCAUGAUGUUGUUACCAUGGAGAGAAACAUAGAAAACCUCUUCAUUGCACCCGAGAUGGCAACUGGUUCCGACACUGAAAAUGUAUUAACUGAUAUGGCUGCAAAUAUGAGAAGCAAAUUCUUGAAGUACUAUGGUGGCUUUACAGACCUGAACCACUUGGUUAUUGUUGGACUUGUGCUAGAUGCAAGAUUCAAGCUUAGGAAUUAUUCACAUUUUUUGAAGGAAGAGGGUAUGGAUGAUGUCGAUGUGUAAAGUAGAACCAAUGAGAUUAGAUCUUUGUUAAUGGCGCUAUAUGAUGAGUAUGCACCGAUCAUAGAUGGUGGGAGACAUAUGCAGAGACAUCAAAGCCCUACAAGUUCAGGCAGCACAAUCACAAAUAGAAGCAGCAAUACGAGAGUUGGUGUGCGGGGUCAGUUGCUAAACUCUUGGAGAAAGGUGGUCCAAGAGAGUGAAGAGGCUGUAAUGGCACAUGAAGUUGAUCAAUAUCUAAAUGCUCCCGUAGAGUUUGUUGAGGAGGAGGAAGAUGGCUUCGAUAUUUUGUGUUGGUGGAAGAUAAACGGACCCAAGUUUCCUGUGGUGGCAGCAAUAGCAAGAGAUGUACUUGCUGUUCAAACAUCCACAGUUGCAUCGGAGUCUGCAUUUAGCACUGGAGGGAGAGUUAUUGAUGCUUUUAGGAGUUCAUUGACUCCUAAAACAGUGGAGGCUUUAAUCUGCAUGCAGAAUUGGUUGUUGGGAGAUGAUAUUGCUCAAGAGGUAGAGGAGCCUACAAUUGAGAUCACAGAGUUCUAUGAGCAGGCUGAGAAAGAUCAUGAGAGCACUGCCUCCAGCAGAAAUACACGUUCAACAAUCCCGAAAGCAAAGGGGAAGGGAAAGGCUGCAGUGGUAAAUGUUGACUAAUGAGUUUAUGAGGUUGUGAGACUGAGUGUGAUGAACUGAUGAAGGUUUUUUCAAAUGUGUUUAAUACUUCAAGACUUGUAGUUAACUAGUUUUUAUCAUGUAAUGGUUUGUAGACUUUAAAUUUCUUAUUUCAGACUUUAAUUUCUUGUUUAAGACCUA